GAUGAAGACGUAGCGAAAUGCGAUACGUAAUGUGAAUUGCAGAAUUCAGUGAAUCAUCGAAUCUUUGAACGCAUAUUGCGCUCUCUGGUAUUCCGGAGAGCAUGCUUGUUUGAGUAUCAGUAAACACCUCAACUUCCAUAUCUUUUUUGAAAUGGGAGUUGGACUUGAGUGAUCCCAACGCUUUUCCUCACCGAAAAGUGGCGGGUUACUUGAAAUGCAGGUGCAGCUGGACUUUUCUCUGAGCUAUAAGCAUAUCUAUUUAGUCUGCCUAAAAAACAGAUUAUUACCUUUGCUGCAGCUAACAUAAAGGAGAUUAGUUCUUGUGCUGACUGAUGCAGGAUUCACAAAGACAGGCUUCGGCCGACUUUGUAAACUCGAUCUCAAAUCAAGUAAGACUACCCGCUGAACUUAAGCAUAUCAAUAAGCGGAGGA
rnacentral:misc_RNA from 1 species